GAUCUAUGGAUAUGACAUGCCUA
rnacentral:siRNA from 1 species